AUUGAACGCUGGCGGCAGGCCUAACACAUGCAAGUCGAACGAGUGGCGGACGGGUGAGUAAUGUCUGGGAAACUGCCUGAUGGAGGGGGAUAACUAGUGGAAACGGUAGCUAAUAGCGCAUACCAGCAGAUGUGCCCAGAGGGGAUUAGCUUGUGGGUGGGGUAACGGCUCACCAAGGCGACGAUCCCUAGCUGGUCUGAGAGGAUGACCAGCCACACUGGGACUGAGACACGGUCCAGACUCCUACGGGAGGCAGCAGUGGGGAAUAUUGGACAAUGGGCGAAACCCUGAUGCAGCCAUGCCGCGUGUAGGAAGAAGGCCUUCGGGUUGUAAAGUACUUUCAGCAGGGAGGCGUUACCCGCAGAAGAAGCACCGGCUAACUCCGUGCCAGCAGCCGCGGUAAUUC
rnacentral:rRNA from 1 species